rfam:Corchorus capsularis cultivar CVL-1 contig15105, whole genome shotgun sequence.
GGGUGCGAUCAUACCAGCACUAAUGCACCGGAUCCCAUCAGAACUCCGCAGUGAAGCGUGCUUGGGCGAGAGUAGUACUAGGAUUCGUGACCUCCUGGGAAGUCCUCGUGUUGCACCCC